ensembl:lincRNA
AUGGCCUCUGGGAACAGGUCCUGUUGUGGCAUGGAGCAAAGGGACCUUCCCAUGGCCAGGCUCUGUGACCCACCGCAGGAUGUCACAAAGGACGGAUGCAGGGAAGGAGAGGCCAGAGGCCAAGGCAGCAGACAAGAUUCCAGUGCCAGCCUCCAGGACAGGGCUGGACCCGGAGGGUGGAGUCAGGAAGAGGCAGAGCCUGUGCCCUCCCCGGUCACAGCAGGGCUGGCUCAGGAGAGAGAGCCCCUCCCUCCUCCUUACUGGGCCUUGAGUGUCUGGGUCACUCCAGUAUCCCCGAGGCCAAGCACAGGAACCGGCAAAGAGAAAGCAUCAGCGAUGUUGGCUGCUUGGAUAAAAAAAAAUGAACAAGUGCGUGAGAGAAUGACCGAACACAGGACGAAACAGACCUUCUGCGAGGGACAGAGGGUCCAGGGACAGCCUCACGGAGGACCCGGAUCACAAGGCCCAAAAGAGGUCGCACCCUCGGGGAGGAGGGCCACCUGCUAUUUGGAAAUCCAGAGCUGACUCACCUGAGUCACUCAGGGCCCAGCCCUACACAGCCCCACCUCUGCAAGCAGAUCUGAGGCCAGACUGGAAAGUUCUGGAAUGAGCCCAACAUUUCUGCAAAUCCCAGCCCCAAACCCUUGUCACCAACUCUCAAUAUGACCUGAAGCAGCCAACUGAGCUCUGUAGACCCCUGUGAAACAGAAUUAAUAAUCCCACCCUUGCAAGCGUUACUGAGGUGGUCUGUGUGCAAAUCCUCAACCUUAGUGGGAGCUCAGUGUUCGUUCUUCACCGCCGCUCACCUAAGCAGGAAAGCGUCAUGGAAAGUCCUCCUCCUCUUCACUUCCCCAGUGCUGGGCUGGCACCGAGAAGUGGGAGCAUGCAGUAGUAACCAUGGCUAAUCUUUCUGGAGUGUCUACUGUGCCCCCAGCGGUGCUAUAUGUUUUACCUGCAUUCUUACAAGUGUCUUUCUCAACAGCCCUGGGAAGUCAGGAGUGUCACUUCCAUUUACAGAAAAAGAUACGUGGGCCGGGAAUUUGGCUCAGUGGUUCUGCCGCCUGCCUCGCAAGUGCAAGGACCCGAGUUUGAUCCAUGAUACCAAAAAAAAAGAAAGAAAGGAAAGGAAAGAGNNNNNNNNNNNNNNNNNNNNNNNNNNNNNGAGAGAGAGAAAGAAAGAAAGAAAGAAAGAAAGAAAGAAAGAAAGAAAGAAAGAAAGAAAGAAAGAAAGAAAGAAAGAAAGAAAGAAAGAAAGAAAGAAAGAAACUGAGGCCCGGAGAUGAAAUGGUUUGCUCAAGAUUGGACUGAGGCCAAGUGUGGUGGUGCAUGCCUAUAAUCUCAGCAUCUUCACGGGAGGCUGAGGCAGGAGGAUGGCUAGUUUCACCCCAGCUUUGGCAACAUAGACUUUGUGAGAUCUUGACUCGUAUAAAAUAAAAUUUAAAAGACUAGGGAUGGAUCUCAAUGCAAAGGUCCUGGGUUCAAUCACCACUACCAGGAAAAAAAUAUUGUACUAAGAAAAGAAAAAAAAAAUCCCCGUUAGGGUGGUACAUUUGAGUGAAAUAGUCCAGCUAAGAACUGAAAGUAACAAAAUGUUUUUACUUCACUUUCUUAUUGAGAUCCUCACAACAGUUUCAAAAGGAAGCUAUCACAAUCUCCAUUAUGCAAAAGGGGGCUCAAAGAUUUUCCUAGAUUAUGGGGAUGAUGGGGAGCUCAGGCCAUUGCUGGGACACUUUCUGAGUGGCAGGCAGGAUGCUAAGUGCUUUCAGGGCAUCGGGUCCUUUAUAGUUAGAAACAGCCACAUGGGUAGAUUUUCUUUUGGUCCCUAUUUCUGUAAACAGGAAAGUAACACACUUGCAAAAAGCCACAGGCCGUAUAGUUGGUAGAGCCAGGAUCUGAGUCCUGCUCUGUUUGAUUUCGACAUUACAGACGUAACUCCUUGCUACACCCCUGUUACUGGCUCUCUUGGAUCCCCAACCCUGAAUCUUUAAAACAAACAUACAAAUCCUGGAGGGGAUGGGCCAAAAAAGUAAAAGAUAAACACGCUGGAAUUUGAAGAGUGGAGAAUCCCCAAGCUCAUCCGGAGAGUUUCCGCUGUGGGGUCCCCGGCCCUACAGGCCUCUCCUCUGGGUACCUGGAGCCAUCUGAUUGGCACAGUGUGUCUGAGUGUCAUGCAGCUGGCAUCCUUCCCACCCCCACCCCUACCCCCAGCGUAAUCUGCAGAGCAUCAGAUAAUCAGUCCCUGGGAUCGGGGGCCCAGCGGCCUGUGACCAAGGAGCCAAAG